GAGAUUUUCGCAAUGCCCGAAAGGGUGACGAAGCGACGCCGCGUGCGGGAAGAAGGCCUUCGGGUUGUAAACCGCUGUCGGGAGUUAAGAAAUGUAAGGAUGUUAAUAGCAUCUUUGCUUGACUAAGGCUCCGGAGGAAGCCACGGCUAACUCUGUGCCAGCAGCCGCGGUAAUACAGAGGCGGCAAGCGUUGUUCAGAAUUAUUGGGCGUAAAGAGCACGUAGGCGGCUAUGUAAGUCGGUUGUGAAAGCCUUCCGUUCAACGGGAGAACAGCAUCCGAUACUGCAUGGCUUGAGUGCGGGAGGGGAGAGUGGAACUUCUGGUGGAGCGGUGAAAUGCGUAGAUAUCAGAAGGAACGCCGGCGGCGAAAGCGGCUCUCUGGCCCAUAACUGACGCUGAGUGUGCGAAAGCUAGGGGAGCAAACGGGAUUAGAUACCCCGGUAGUCCUAGCCGUAAACGAUGGGCACUAAGUAGAGGGGUUUUA
rnacentral:rRNA from 1 species